GAUGAACGCUGGCGGCGUGCCUAAUACAUGCAAGUCGAGCGAACAGACGAGGAGCUUGCUCCUCUGACGUUAGCGGCGGACGGGUGAGUAACACGUGGAUAACCUACCUAUAAGACUGGGAUAACUUCGGGAAACCGGAGCUAAUACCGGAUAAUAUAUUGAACCGCAUGGUUCAAUAGUGAAAGACGGUUUUGCUGUCACUUAUAGAUGGAUCCGCGCCGCAUUAGCUAGUUGGUAAGGUAACGGCUUACCAAGGCAACGAUGCGUAGCCGACCUGAGAGGGUGAUCAGCCACACUGGAACUGAGACACGGUCCAGACUCCUACGGGAGGCAGCAGUAGGGAAUCUUCCGCAAUGGGCGAAAGCCUGACGGAGCAACGCCGCGUGAGUGAUGAAGGUCUUCGGAUCGUAAAACUCUGUUAUUAGGGAAGAACAAAUGUGUAAGUAACUAUGCACGUCUUGACGGUACCUAAACAGAAAGCCACGGCUAACUACGUG
rnacentral:rRNA from 1 species